UGGAGGUCUGCAACUCCGACUCCAUGAAGCUGGAUUCGCUAGUAAUCGCGCAUCAGCCAUGGCGCGGUGAAUACGUUCCCGGGCCUUGUACACACCGCCCGUCAAGCCAUGGGAGUCGGGAGUGCCUGAAGUUCGUGACCGUCACAGGAGCGACCUAAGGCAAGACCGAUGACUGGGGCUAAGUCGUAACAAGGUACC
rnacentral:rRNA from 1 species